AAUUUGUGCAUCAGACACUUUCACAACAACUCCUUAAACUGUUCCCAAGCUUCAUAUAAAUUCUCAUCAUCCAAUUGCUUGAAAGAGGUAAACUCAUUCCUCAGCUU